GGACUACAAGGGUUUCUAAUCCUGUUUGCUACCCACGCUUUCGCGUCUCAGCGUCAGUAUCCAUCCAGAUGGCCGCCUUCGCCACUGGUGUUCCUCCCGAUAUCUACGAAUUUCACCUCUACUUCGGGAAUUCCGCCAUCCUCUCCGGUACUCAAGCCGAGCAGUUUCGGGCGCACUUCCUCAGUUAAGCUGAGGGCUUUCACACCCGACUUGCAAAGCCGCCUACACGCGCUUUACGCCCAAUAAUUCCGAACAACGCUUGCACCCUCUGUAUUACCGCGGCUGCUGGCAC
rnacentral:rRNA from 1 species